rnacentral:rRNA from 1 species
CUCCGGUUGAUCCCGCCGGACCCGACUGCUAUCAGAGUGGGACUAAGCCAUGCGAGUCAACGUAGCAAUACGUGGCAUACGGCUCAGUAACACGUAGUCAACAUGCCCAGGGGACGAGGAUAACCUCGGGAAACUGAGGAUAAACCUCGAUAGGCCAUGAUUUCUGGAAUGAUUCUUGGCUCAAACCUAUAUGGCCCCUGGAUUGGACUGCGGCCGAUCAGGCUGUUGGUGAGGUAAUGGCCCACCAAACCUAUUACCGGUACGGGCUCUGAGAGGAGGAGCCCGGAGAUGGGCACUGAGACAAGGGCCCAGGCCCUAUGGGGCGCAGCAGGCGCGAAACCUCUGCAAUAGGCGAAAGCUUGACAGGGUUACUCUGAGUGAUUUCCGCUAAGGGAAUCUUUUGGCACCUCUAAAAAUGGUGCAGAAUAAGGGGUGGGCAAGUCUGGUGUCAGCCGCCGCGGUAAUACCAGCACCCCGAGUGGUCGGGACGAUUAUUGGGCCUAAAGCAUCCGUAGCCGGUUCUGCAAGUCCCCCGUUAAAUCCAGCUGCUCAACAGAUGGGCCGCGGAGGAUACUACAGAGCUAGGAGGCAGGAGAGGCAAGCGGUACUCAGUGGGUAGGGGUAAAAUCCGUUGAUCCAUUGAAGACCACCAGUGGCGAAGGCGGCUUGCCAGAAUGCGCUCGACGGUGAGGGAUGAAAGCUGGGGGAGCAAACCGGAUUAGAUACCCGGGUAGUCCCAGCCGUAAACGAUGCAGACUCGGUGAUGGGUUGGCUUCGCGCUAACCCAGUGCCGCAGGGAAGCCGUUAAGUCUGCCGCCUGGGUAGUACGGUCGCAAGACUGAAACUUAAAGGAAUUGGCGGGGGAGCA